GGACGAACGCUGGCGGCGUGCCUAAUACAUGCAAGUCGAACGAGCUCUCCUAAAUUGAUUUUAUGCUUGCAUAAAUGAUUUUUAGAUUCGGAGCGAGUGGCGAACUGGUGAGUAACACGUGGGUAACCUGCCCCGAAGCGGGGGAUAACAUUUGGAAACAAAUGCUAAUACCGCAUAAUUAGUUGGAACCGCAUGGUUCCAACUUGAAAGAUGGCUCUGCUAUCACUUUGGGAUGGACCCGCGCCGUAUUAGUUAGUUGGUGAGAUAAAAGCCCACCAAGACGAUGAUACGUAGCCGACCUGAGAGGGUAAUCGGCCACAUUGGGACUGAGACACGGCCCAGACUCCUACGGGAGGCAGCAGUAGGGAAUCUUCCACAAUGGACGAAAGUCUGAUGGAGCAACGCCGCGUGAGUGAUGAAGGUUUUCGGAUCGUAAAACUCUGUUGUUAAAGAAGAACAAGUGUUAGAGUAACUGUUAACACUUUGACGGUAUUUAACCAGAAAGCCACGGCUAACUACGUGCCAGCAGCCGCGGUAAUACGUAGGUGGCAAGCGUUGUCCGGAUUUAUUGGGCGUAAAGCGAGCGCAGGCGGUUUUGUAAGUCUGCUGUGAAAGCCCUCAGCUCAACUGAGGAAGUGCAGUGGAAACUACAAAACUUGAGUACAGAAGAGGAAAGUGGAACUCCAUGUGUAGCGGUGAAAUGCGUAGAUAUAUGGAAGAACACCAGUGGCGAAGGCGGCUUUCUGGUCUGUUACUGACGCUGAGGCUCGAAAGCAUGGGUAGCGAACAGGAUUAGAUACCCUGGUAGUCCAUGCCGUAAACGAUGAAUACUAGGUGUUGGAGGGUUCCGCCCUUCAGUGCCGCAGCUAACGCAUUAAGUAUUCCGCCUGGGGAGUACGACCGCAAGGUUGAAACUCAAAGGAAUUGACGGGGGCCCGCACAAGUGGUGGAGCAUGUGGUUUAAUUCGAUGCUACGCGAAGAACCUUACCAGCUCUUGACAUCUUCUGCCAACCCAAGAGAUUGGGCGUUCCCUUCGGGGACAGAAUGACAGGUGGUGCAUGGUUGUCGUCAGCUCGUGUCGUGAGAUGUUGGGUUAAGUCCCGCAACGAGCGCAACCCUUAUUAUUAGUUGCCAGCAUUUAGUUGGGCACUCUAGUGAGACUGCCGGUGAUAAACCGGAGGAAGGUGGGGACGACGUCAAAUCAUCAUGCCCCUUAUGAGCUGGGCUACACACGUGCUACAAUGGAUGGUACAACGAGUCGCGAAACCGCGAGGUCAAGCUAAUCUCUUAAAGCCAUUCUCAGUUCGGAUUGCAGGCUGCAACUCGCCUGCAUGAAGUUGGAAUCACUAGUAAUCGUGGAUCAGCACGCCACGGUGAAUACGUUCCCGGGCCUUGUACUCACCGC
rnacentral:rRNA from 1 species